rnacentral:rRNA from 1 species
GAUGAACGCUGGCGGCGUGCAUAACACAUUCAAGUCGAACGAAGCAUAUUAGUGAAUCCCUUCGGGGUGAAGCUGAUAUGACUUAGUGGCGGACGGGUGAGUAACGCGUGAGCAACCUGCCUUUCAUUGUGGGAUAACGACUGGAAACGGUCGCUAAUACCGCAUAAUGUAGCGAAGCCGCAUGACUUUGCUACCAAAGAUUUAUUGAUGAAAGAUGGGCUCGCGUCCGAUUAGGUAGUUGGUGGGGUAACGGCCUACCAAGCCGACGAUCGGUAGCCGGACUGAGAGGUUGAACGGCCACAUUGGGACUGAGACACGGCCCAGACUCCUACGGGAGGCAGCAGUGGGGAAUAUUGCACAAUGGGGGAAACCCUGAUGCAGCAACGCCGCGUGAGGGAAGACGGUUUUCGGAUUGUAAACCUCUGUCCUCUGUGAAGAAGAAAGUGACGGUAGCAGAGGAGGAAGCCACGGCUAACUACGUG